GAAUUGGUGAACUUUAUCUUAAAAUGAAGGCCUCUUCUUGACCAAUCAAAAUGAAUAUGAACACUUAAAAUGGGCAGAAGCUCCUGAGCUUUUGCCCAUUUUAUUUGGUUAGUUACCUGUCCAUUCCAUAUCAGACUGACUCCACCGACAAGUGUUAGACUGAAAUGCUGGCAACACCAAUUUGCAAACAUGAUACAGCAACCCUGGUUUGCUAUUCAUUGUCUUCUAUCGAAGAGGUAUACUUGAACAAAGUAAAACCAAACUAUUUGCUGAGGCCCUUUGAGCAAGGCUUCCAAUGUGUUGCCCCAGGAAAAUGCUUGAUUGAAACAUGGAUCAACUUUG